UUCUUCAGGCGAGCAACUGCUAUUCGAACUUCUUCAUGGCCGGGUAAUGGAACGUCUGCUCCAUCGUCAUCGAUUGGGGAAUCGGGUUCGCCUUCUCCUGGUGUUGUGUGUUCACUGCCAUUCAGCAGUCUGGAGAAGUGUUCCAUCCAUAAUCUAAGUAUGCUCUGGACAUCGGUGGCUAGAUCACCUUUGGGGGUUCUACAGGAUUAUGCUCCGGUUUUGAAACCUUCUGUAAGCCGCCGCAUUUUUUUGUAGAAUUUUCGAGCAUUACCCCUGUCGGCCAGCUUAUCAAGCUGUUCAUACUCACGCAUUUCGGCCUCUUUCUUCUUCUGUCUGCAAAUGCGUCUCGCUUCCCUCUUCAACUCUCGGUAUCUAUCCCAUCCCGCACGUGUUGUGGUCGAUCGUAACGUUGCGAGGUAGGCAGCCUGUUUUCUCUCCGUUGCGACACGACACUCCUCGUCGUACCAGCUGUUCUUUUGCAUUUUCCGAAAACCAAUGGUUUCGGUUGCAGCUGUACGUAAGGAGUUUGAAAUGCCGUCCCACAGUUCCCUUAUACCGAGUUGUUGACGAGUACUCUCAGAGAGCAGGAGUGCAAGCCGAGUAGAAAAUCUUUCGGCUGUCUGUUGUGAUUGCAGCUUCUCGACGUCGAACCUUCCUUGUGUUUGUUGGCGUGCGUUUUUUGCUGCACAGAGGCGGGUGCGAAUAUUGGCUGCAACAAUAUAGUGGUCGGAGGGAGGGAGGGAGGACCUCGGAGCGCACGCACAUCUAAAACACUCGAGACGUGUCUUCCGUCUAUCACAACAUGAUCGAUCUGGUUGGUGGUUUUUCGAUCCGGAGACUGCCAGGUAGCUUGAUGUAUCUUCUUAUGCUGGAAUCUAGUACUACAGAUAACCAUAUUUCGGGCCCCGGCGAAGUCGAUCAGCCUCAACCCAUUUGGGGAUUUUUCCUUGUGGAUGCUGAAUUUGCUAAAGAUACCUUCUUUGCCCACCCUGGCGUUGAAGUCGCCAAGCACGAUUUUGACAUCGUGGCGGGGCAUCUCUCAUAAGUGCGCUCCAAGCACUCAUAAAAAGCAUCUUUGGUCACAUCGUCGAUAUGUUGAAGAACCUCGCUUUAAUGCGGAUUGUGGCUAGACGUUCAUUCUCCGGAGUGAAUGAUAGUACUCGGCGACGGAGUCUCUCUCUCACCACUUAUCCAACACCAAACGUGCGCUCCUUUAUAUGGCCACUGUAGUAAAUGUCACAAGGACCUACGCGUUUCUGUCCUUGUCCCGUCCAUCGCAUUUCUUGGACGGUGGUGAUGUCAGCCUUUAUUUUCACAAGGACAUCAACCAUCAACCUGGGCAGCGGCACCUUCCCAAUUAAGGGACCGGACAUUCCAGGUGCAUGCCCUCAAAUCAUAGUCCUUAUUUCGUUUGCCAUGGUCGUCAUCAAAAGGGGGGUCUCUCAUCCGAAGCUGUUUGUUGUUUUUCAUUGGGGGUGUUUUUUUACCUGGCGGGUCCCAAACCCAGCGCACAACCCUAUGCAGGGGAUGUUUCGCCUUCUCACUUUAGCUCGCCUUCAAACGGAUGUUCUUAGGCUACCCAGAGGAUAGCUUGGGACUUGGUCAAAGACCGGAAGUCGUGAGCUGCUUGAGUCACAUGUAAAAGAAUCGUUUCUGGCCACUCCCAAGUGAAUGGCGAUCAGAGACCUUUCCUCACUUGCGUGAACUUCUACACAUGACUCCAUCCUCCCUUUCAUACAUGGCCAAUUAAUAUUUAUAACACCACAUGGUCUAUGAAUCAUAAUUUUUGUAACAACAUCAAAUAAACCUGGAUCGAUUUCCUCAUCAGGAAUUUCUGCUGAGAUGAUGUCAUCUAUUUGAUCGCUUGUUAUUUUGUUGACUAACCAUUACCAAAAUAUGGUCAUGUGGUAAACCUCUCUUUUGCCAUUCCACCGAAUACAUCCAACAUCGAAUUCGCCGAAAACUUGAUGUUUAACAAUAAAAUCCAUCAAUGACUUCAGUUUCUGUCUAAAUACUAGUCCAGUUUUGUCAUGAGGUCUGUAGAAGAUUGCCCUUCAUAUAAAUAUUGUUUGAUUUCGUCACAUUGUGGAUUACAUGUAAAUGUAAUAAACAAAUCUGGUCGAUCAUACAAACGAACAUAGCAAAUGGCUUCUUGUGCAUAUUCAUGCAUGUGCCUUGGACUGCCUGUGUAACUUGCUGGUAAAAUAACAACUUGUCCAACAUUGUCAACACUUCCAUCAUUAUUGAUUGCAUCGGGGAGAUGUAUAUUGAUUGAUUGAAUUGAAUGAAGUUCAAACGCUCUGUUUCUAUCUUUGCAUACAUGUCUACGACAUAUUGAUGAAAGAGUCUCCGAUAUUUGAAAAUAUGAUUUUCCUGAUUUUGUGGCAUCAUAAUUCUAUGUGCAUAAUAGUUCAUAGCGCUGACAUUUUUAUUGACUUCACGUUCUGAAGAGAAAAAAAAAACAAAUGGAAAUUUAAAUCAUUUCUUACUAAUUCUUGUUAAACAAAAAUGAAAGAGUAUAUUAAACACAACAAACAGUCACGUGGGUUUGUGAGAUCUACCAUUUUUAAAUUAAUAGAGCAUCCACCUUCACCCCGACAAAACAAAAUUGCGUACUGUAGGGCAUCGUAAGAGCGAUGUGUUUCACAAAUACUUUGUAAUUGAUUAUUUCUUCUACGCAAUACAAUGUCACGUGAUUGAAACUCAUCACCGACAAUCACCACAGCAACUUCAUUAUUUAUAGGUGCAUUAAAUCUUCGUUAGUGUUCUCCGAUAGGUCUUCUAUCAGCACGAAUCAUGAUUUUAUGAUCAUCAGACGGCAUCUGAUCAAGCACUGUCCGAAAAGUAUUAAUCAAAUAAUUAUGUUCAUGAAACAAUGCUUGCAGUUCACGUAUUAUUAUUCCUCUGGCACUUGUGAAUAUUGAAUAACGGGCAUCUACUUCAUUUUCAUUAUUGCCAAGGAAGUAGAUUUGCAAGAACUGGUGGUUUGCAUCUGGAAAUGGCAAUAAUGAACCAAUCCUAUGAUAAAUUUGCCCUUGUAUCUGCAAUUGUGAGGCAAAAUAUGAUUCAUUAGAACUUGUGAAAAGUUCUGAAAUGUCGCUGUAUGCUUCAUUCGAAAUUCCCAGAGCCGAAAUUACCUUAAAUGUCGGUAUGAAAUUAUUUCGUAUUACAUUCGUCGCUCCAAAGGAAGUCAUUUUAAAGCACGAAUUAUAUAUUUGGAUAUUAUCCAAAAAAUGUUUCGAUUGCGGCGUUGUCCCUGAAAUUAAUGUUGCCAAUGGUUCCGGUGGGUAUUGUAAUUCGGGUAAUCUUACUUUGCCACUGGAACAACACAUUCCAGGUGUUUCAUUAUGAAAUUUCAGUGCAUUACAAUGUUGGCAUACUUUGUGCAUUCCACCAAUCACCACACAAAAAAAAUUAUUUCGUAAUUUUUGUCCUACCGUUUGAAAGCGAAAACGAAACGUUCGAGAUCGUCUGCACUCGAAAAACACCAAAAAAUGACGAAAAGACACGAAAAGACAUGAAAAUGUGACAAAAUUCAAUUAAAAAUUGGCCAAAAAAUCCAAGUAAUUUUUAGCUCACCGAUCGGACAUUAAACAAAAAAUUUCAAAUUUGAGAUUAUUUCACAAAAUCAUACGAUGCACUUGUAACAAUCAGAACACUUGUUUAGCAAAACAAUCAAUUUUUAUCUAAUUAAUCAUUGUUUUUUUUUAAUUUUUUUUUAAUAAAAUAUUUGAUGAUUAGAACGAAAAUUAAUUUAUUUUUAUCAAAAUACUCACCAAAAAAUGCGAAGAAAUUAAUAUUUUCAAAAAUCUAUUAUGAUAAGAUCAAUCACCAAUGACGUCCAAAGAGAAAAGAGAAAUGAUAACAAAUUGCUAUUUGCACCACUCCGGGCAAUGCGCUCCAAUACACAAAUGACAAAAUGUAUUCAAUACUAAUAAAUGCUAUAUGUGGUACAAAAAAUGCUUGUGGCAAAAACACACUCACUUCACAUACUCACCGCACACACAUGCGUUAUCAUAUUUCAACCAAACUUCAAAUAAACCAUAUAUAAGCCACUGUCUACGUAGUGUAUAAGUUUGGUUGAAAUCGUAUGACGCGUUUAUGAUUAGUUCGGCGACGUACAUAUACGGACUUAUUUUUAUAUAUAUAGAUUUUAGUGCUGACCUCCUUUUGUCAUCUUUUAGGAGCAAAAAAGGAGAUUUUAUACUUCUAUUGUGAUUUUUUUACUUCAUUUUAGUAUUGAUCUCCUUUUGUCCUCCUUUAGGAGCAAUAAAGGAGAUUUUUUAAUUUUUCGUAGCUUAAAAAUCGUACUUUUGAUUCAAAAAUUACAAUUUAACGGGAAAUAAUAACUGUUAAUUUUUGUCUUCAAGCAAUUGUUCAUUUCACCUGUGUGUUUUAAAGCGUGCAGAGACCCACGAAAUUUAAAUGUGCCUAUAGCUAGAGGAAAUAUCGGCGCAGAACACUAUACUCCUGGAGCGGAUUAUUGACAUAUUGCAACCGAAGAAGAUUGAAUUAAUGAUAUUUCCCAUUAAAAACAUGAAUGAUUUAGCAUCUACAGAGUCCUUGCUUUUGAAUAAGCCUGAGGCAGAAAUUGUGGCGUAUCUGAAGUAAACAUUUUCAAAGAGGCCCCUAUCAAAAAUUUUGGAUGAAGAGAUUGCGGAGUCCCUGCUCUUAAAAGUGAAUUGGGAUGGAGCCAAAAAAAAAGUUGCAUUGAAAAAGUAUGCAUUUUUCAAUA